rnacentral:lncRNA from 1 species
CUGCUGUAUAUACAUGGAUGUAAGUAAAGAAUCAAAAACAUGAGGUUUGACAUUUCUUAUAAAAUUUUAUACAUUCAAAGAUGUAAAUAAAUACAUGUAUGUGUACACUUAUAAACAAAAAAUAUGCAGUGCAGAUCAUAUACUUUCAUAAAAAUAAACGAGUCAUAAUCAAGGAAAAAAUUGGUUACAUCAUUAACAAGUCAAAAUAAACAUUAAGAACAACUUUUGUGAAUAGUGUGAACAAGUCUCCGUAAGAAUAAACCAGAUGUUUGCUCUACUAAGGGUAUAAAAAUAAUUACUGGCAUAAAUUGGGAGGUGAUCUUAUAUUUUAGAAAUAUUGUACAAUGUAAAUAAAACAAUCAAAGUUAUGCACACUUUUUGUUCACAAGGGACAUAACUUUUCCAAAAAGAACAUACUGAUGUAAGUUUUAUAAAUUCUUACUGUUACCAGUUGAGACAUUUGUUUUAUACCUGAUAAAAAUGAAUGUACCUUUGAAAAUUUGAACCAUUUUUUAAACACCUGAAGAAGGAUAUAUAUCCAUGUACCCCUGAUGAUUUGAUCUUUGGUUUCAUAUAAUAUCAUGGAUUAUAAUAAUAUCCAUAAAAAUAUCUACAUGUAAUUGUGAUAAUUUGUAACAACUUCACUACCAGAAAAAAAAAUGGUGUGAAUAGGUAUCAUUUAACAUGUUUAAGGGCUAUCCCGGAAAUAAAUACAUGGAGGUGGGGUGAGGGAGGCACUUUUUUUUAGACCCGCAACAACCACAAUAUAAAUUUAAAAUUCUACAUACAAUUCUUACAAAAUUUCAAUGGAGAACACACCAAACCACAAUUACUUAAUAAGAGUGCCUGCCAUCCCUGCACCAAAAUCAAUUUUGGCUCAGCCCUAAUACAAAAAAAGAUAUUAAAAAAAUUUAGUGAAUGCUGUUGACAUGGUUGAUGACACUAACAAAUAUUGAUAAAUUUGACAAUUCUAAGACAUUAUAUAAUAUAAGGUUGGCCUGUUGUACAGCUCUCAAGUCUAGGCGAAUAUUCAUGGAACAAGACCUUACAAUGAUGAAAUUUUGAUUAUCUAGAUGUACCAUGAUGUACCAUUAUUCAAUGAAACUUAUGUACAUUUUGUAAUUAUUUAUUGUAUAGCCCAAAAUGGUCCUUAAUGCAACUACAAGUACAGAUAUGAUGGAUGAGAAUGCAAUUCAAAAUGUGAAACAUGAAGAUAAUUAAAACUCAAUAAUAUGAUUACAUUGUAUAAAUGUCUUUGUUUCACUGUACAUUAAAUAUAAAAAAAAUAAAAACCACAUUAAUUAAAUUGACAUACAUUGAACAAGACAAUGUAAAAUGUUUUGUAACAUUAAUGUGAAUUAUAUUUUUUAUAAUGUGUUCAAAUUAUAAGUUAUCAGUGUUUCAUGAACCACUUUAUUAAAUGGAUGAUAUAAUUUUGGGUUUAUCAAAUAGUGCAAAUUGAGGACAAAUGAUGCAAAUAUUGUUAUUUAGUCAGCAGUAAAAGUUGAUGUAAAUACUGGAUUACCAAUUAAUUCACAACAUUCAUAAGUUAUUCCUGUAACCAUCAUAAAAAAAACACAUUAUAAAUAUUUAGGAUUCGUAUACAUACAAAAUAGAGAUAAAAAUCAAAAAAGUAAACAAUUUCUUACACAUUCAACAACACUCUUUCACAUGUACAUGUAUGUAAAAAUUUAAAGAUAAUUAUUUCUGAUUCAUGAACCACACUGUUUUCUUUUAGUUCCUUUGUAAACUUUAUAAUAAUAUACACCUGAACAUUUAUCCUGUACAAACUAAUUGCACACAUGAUUGUAAAAUAUGAAAUAACGAAGUACAUUUACUACAAUUAUAUAGGUUUAUAAAUAAAAC